CUUCUUCAUAUAUCCAACCGCUAGAGAGCGUGCUGGUGCAGGCCAAAAUAUUGUUCGGCGCAUAGCAACUUCCACAAAACUUAACUGAGGUCAUCAUAUGUUUUUCUAAGCACGACGUGUCAGAGAAGGGGAUUGUUGGUGUGCCGUAUUUCAUUGGAGUUGCGUACGCAGAAUACUGAGUCCAUUGACUUGACAGAGUGGCCUCCACUGCACCUGAAGCCACUGGUCGAUCAGCCGCGGCCACCGCAAACUGGUAAAAAAGGUUCGCAAUUCCUUUGGAGAACGACAUUUUGAAGCCACAACUCACUAUGAAGUAUGAAUUUUUGCCUUCCUUAUUUUUCUGCUGGUUUGUAUAAGUGAUGGAGCUCCACCUAAAAGCCGACAAGGAACGAAAAGCGACGAAGUAAAGGAAGAAUUCAAUGAAGGCAGCAUCGGAGAGCGCCUCAAACCACUCUCUGCAUUGGUGGCUGGUUUUCCGUGUGGCGGCACGGGACCUUGCUUUGCCAUUCCUUGGCGACCUUCAAUUAUCCGGCCUCCACAGCCUCCCCGCCGUCCACGCCCUAACAUGAACAGCAUCGGAUGAGAACGCCGCUUUUUUCUACUGACACAAAUAUACGCCGCUGGGUUUACUUCACGUAAUAAGGCGUCCAUAUAAUUCGGCAGUUAUAACACUAUACUUUUGAUCAUUUGUGGUAUUUUACUUCUCGACCAAAGAAUAGAGAUUAAAGCGCCCUGCGCCACUAUCUCAAGGCCGUCAUCUGUGGUGCACCUUUAAAUGGCAUCAUAAUGUAAAGCAUUUUUCUUUGAAAAUAAACUUCCUGAUUUCCUCGUAAUUACCAUUUUUCACACAUCGUUUUUUGUUAUUCACCGCAAAGAAAAUAGAGACUUCGCCAGUCUUACUUCAUUGCACCAAAUUCGGAAGCAUGUAUUCGCGCAUCACGCCAUGGCGGAUUACAGAAGUCACUAAAAAUAAACAGCUCCACUUUGUAAACUACAAAUUCCGGAACUCUGUGAGUGUGAGCCAAAAUGCGCUAAAUAUAUCACACGUUUAGAAUGUCUUUAAGUGAGCAUAACAUAUGUUGCUAAUGAUGCUGCUGCUGGAGAUGAUGGAAGCACUUCCUUGACUGCUUUAAAUCAACGUAAUAAAAAUAGAGAGGCUUGAGCUCUAUAGGCAG